UCUUUACUUGUUUUGAGGAGAGCCGAGCGUUUCUCAGUUUUCUUACAACACAGACUUAGCUGUGGUCCAAUCGCCUCAAGUACCAUCUGUAACCUCCAAAUCUUUUCCUGUAGGCCAGGCAUCGCUCCUGAGUUCCAGACGUGUUUGCCCAGCUGCCCAAAGGACGCUUCCAUCUGAACAUCCACAGACAUCUCGGGCAGGGAGUUUUCCAUCCAUCUCGUCCCAAACCUUUUCUUCAUCUCAGCGCCAGGGGUCCCCGUUCUUCUGAAACCAGGAAGACACCCUGGAUUCCCCCCACACAUCCUGCAGAGUUUACCUCUGGAAGACCUGUCAUAUCUGCUCCAGGGCCUCCCUCCUGUGCUCCGUCCCUGCCAGCGCCUGGCAAAGAUCUCAUCAUUCAUCACUAGGACCAUGGCAGGAGCCCCCUCAUCCUCUCCUCACCCGGUCCACCCUCCCCACCUUUCUGAAGCAUGGAUUCUGUCACAGAUUACCCUACCCAGAACCUUCUCAGAGCUUCCCAUUGCUUCGCAACGAAAUUUGUACUCCUUACCUCUGGGUAACAGGAGCUGGAGCCACCACGCUGAGCGAAGCAGAGACGCCGUGUGAUCGCCAAGCCAGUUUCCUCUUCCUGAGCACACAGCUGGACUGCAUUUCCCAGCCUCCCCUGCAGUUAGGUGGGGCCAUAGGACUGAGUUCUGGCCAAUAGCAUGUGAGGUAUGGUUGCUUCCAGGCCUGGCCCCUAGAAGUCUCUAAGCAAUCCUCCAUGCUGUCUCUAUGUCCUACUGACCAGCCAAAUGCAGAGGAAGACAAGGCGCUACGAGAUGACAGAACCACAACAUGGAAGGGGCCUGGGCCCCCGGGUCACUGUGUGGAUCAGAGCUCCCCACUGCCACCAUGCACCCUGAAUUGUGACAUAAGUGCGAAAUCAACUUCUGUUGUGUUAAGGCACUGAGAUGUUGGUGGUGUUAGUUACAGCAGUUACCUUAUCCUGACUCGUUCCCAGUUUCUGCCCCCUCCCGCAUCGCUGAUUGCACAUCCAUGGCGUGUGUGUGUUCCCGGCCCCAUGGUGUCCAUCACUGGGGAGGGGACUCACAAGCCAGACAGCCUGUUUUUCUCUUUAUAAUAAUUCAUUUUUAAUUGCACAAGCAGUCCAUCAAUACCUUCUCCUUUUUCUCUUCUGUAAAAAAAUACAGGAAGAUUAACAAUAAAGCUCAAGUCCCAAUUUCGCCUCCUUCCCA
rnacentral:lncRNA from 1 species